rnacentral:rRNA from 1 species
GUCUAUGGCCAUGCCACCCUGAACGUGCCCGAUCCUGUCUGAUCUUUUAAGUUAAGCAGGGUCGGGCCUGGUUAGUCCUUGGAUGGGAGACCACUUAGCAAUAGCAGGUGCUGUAGGCA